GCCAGUGUGGUGCAGUGGUUUGAACAUUGGUCUAUGACUCUGGAGACCAGGGUUCGAAUCUCUGCCUAAGUU